AGCAGCCGCGGUAAUUCCAGCUCCAAUAGCGUAUAUUAAAGUUGUUGCAGUUAAAAAGCUCGUAGUUGAAUUCCGGGAUUGGCGCAUCGGUCGUGCCUCACGGGGUAUGAACUGGUGCAGUCAAUUUCUCACCUUCUGGAGAACCGCGAUGUCCUUAAUUGGAUGCCGCGGGGAACCAGGACCUUUACUUUGAAAAAAUUAGAGUGUUUAAAGCAGGCAUUUUUGCUUGAAUACAUUAGCAUGGAAUAAUAAAAUAGGACGGCAUGGUUCUAUUUUGUUGGUUUCUAGGACCACCGUAAUGAUUAAUAGGGAUAGUUGGGGGCAUUAGUAUUCAAUUGUCAGAGGUGAAAUUCUUGGAUUUAUUGAAGACUAACUACUGCGAAAGCAUUUGCCAAGGAUGUUUUCAUUAAUCAAGAACGAAAGUUAGGGGAUCGAAGACGAUCAGAUACCGUCGUAGUCUUAACCAUAAACUAUGCCGACUAGGAAUCAGACGAUGUUAAUUUUUUAAUGACUCGUUUGG
rnacentral:misc_RNA from 1 species